GACGAACGCUGGCGGCGUGCCUAAUACAUGCAAGUAGAACGCCGUUGCGAACGGGUGAGUAACGCGUAGGUAACUGCCUCAUAGCGGGGGAUAACUAUUGGAAACGAUAGCUAAUACCGCAUACUGUGAGAUGGACCUGCGUUGUAUUAGCUAGUUGGUGAGGUACAGGCUGACCAAGGCGACGAUACAUAGCCGACCUGAGAGGGUGAUCGUCAACACUGGGGCUGAGGCACGGCCCAGACGCCUACGAGGGGCGGCAGUAGGGAAGCUUAGGCAAUGGUCGGAAGUCUGACCGAGCAACGCCGCGGGGGUUAAGAAGGUUGUCGGAUCGUAAUGCACUGUUGUUAGAGAAGCGGGAACUAACCAGAAAGAGACGGCUAACUACGUGCGAGCAGCGGCGGCGUAAUUC
rnacentral:rRNA from 1 species